rnacentral:misc_RNA from 1 species
AAGUCGUAACAAGGUUUUCGUAGGUGAACCUGCGGAAGGAUCAUUAAAUAAACUUUUUUUUUAAUCCAUUAAAAAACUUAUUUUUUUCGGGGGCCACUUUUAUCUUUUUUUUCUACUAAAACAUUAGUGCUUUAACCACUAAUUUUUUUAUUUUUUUUAGUCUUACUAAAAAUUAUUAAUUUAACUAAAAAAUAACUUUCAACAACGGAUCUCUAGGCUCUU